AUGCAAAUGGUACGAGGAGGCCAAACCACCAUCAACAUCAACGGCGAAUCGGGGCCGUAUUUCCGGAAUAUCCGAGGGGUCAGGCAAGGAGAUCCCAUUUCCCCGUUGCUUUUUAACAUUGUGGUCGAGGCGCUGGCUGUCAUCCUAGAGGGAGCUAGUAAAGUCGGCCACAUCCAAGGAAUCUUUCUGAACCUUAUGGAAGGGGGAAUUACCCACCUACAGUACGCCGAUGACACACUAACCCUAAUCAAGAAUGACCCAGUUAGUCUGGUGAACCUUCGAUUUCUGCUUAGGUGCUUCGAAUCCAUGUCUGGUCUGAAGAUCAACUAUGAUAAGAGUGAGGCUUUUGUAACCAAAGGGUACCUGGAACAUCACCUUAGAACAACGCACAUCAUGAAUUGCAAACUGGGCACCCUACCCAUCAAGUAA
rnacentral:rRNA from 1 species